CUCUAGAAAGGAUACCUGCAGUAAAGUCGCUUUCAGGUGUUUUACAAGGUCGAUCAAUUGCGAUGAUCCGUGCAGCUGUCAGAGCAAAUUCCCGGUUUGUGGCGCGUGUGGCUAUCAGAUAUGCGACUCGAAUGCUGAGUGUACUGCAGCGCGGCAAUGCAGAUGCAGAAGUGAUUUGGGAUACAGGGGAACUGGAACCUCUUGCCAAUUUGAUCCUUGCACACCCGAGCGAGGCGCAUGCUCGGAC